rnacentral:snRNA from 1 species
GAGCUCAUUUUAGCACAUGUGUUAAAAUGAAAAUGAUACAGAGAUUCUCAUGGCCUGUGCAAGAAUGACAUGCAAAUUAAUGACGCAUUCCAAGGUUCA